rfam:Triticum aestivum genome assembly, contig: Triticum_aestivum_CS42_TGACv1_scaffold_288560_4AL
CAAAUACUCCCUCCGUCCGGAAAUACUUGUCAUCAAAAUAUAUAAAAGGAGAUGUAUCUAGACGUAUUUUAGUUCUAGAUACAUCCCUUUUCAUCCGUUUUGAUGACGAGUAUUUUCGGACGGAGGGAGUACAUU